GUGAACGAGCGACGCCGCGUGAGCGAUGAAGGCCUUCGGGUCGUAAAGCUCUGUCGAGGGGGAGAAAAGCCGCAAGGCUUGAUCGACCCCUGGAGGAAGCACGGGCUAAGUUCGUGCCAGCAGCCGCGGUAAGACGAACCGUGCGAACGUUAUUCGGAAUCACUGGGCUUAAAGGGCGCGUAGGCGGGCCGAAAAGUCAGGGGUGAAAUCCUCCAGCCCAACUGGAGAAGCGCCUUUGGUACUGUCGGCCUCGAGGGGUGCAGGGGCAUGCGGAACUCAGGGUGGAGCGGUGAAAUGCGUAGAUAUCCUGAGGAACACCGGUGGCGAAAGCGGCGUGCUGGACACCUUCUGACGCUGAGGCGCGAAAGCCAGGGGAGCGAACGGGAUUAGAUACCCCGGUAGUCCUGGCCCUAAACGAU
rnacentral:rRNA from 1 species